rnacentral:rRNA from 1 species
GACGAACGCUGGCGGCGUGCCUAAUACAUGCAAGUCGUACGCUUCUUUUUCCACCGGAGCUUGCUCCACCGGAAAAAGAAGAGUGGCGAACGGGCGAGUAACACGUGGGUAACCUGCCCAUCAGAAGGGGAUAACACUUGGAAACAGGUGCUAAUACCGUAUAACAAUCGAAACCGCAUGGUUUUGAUUUGAAAGGCGCUUUCGGGUGUCGCUGAUGGAUGGACCCGCGGUGCAUUAGCUAGUUGGUGAGGUAACGGCUCACCAAGGCCACGAUGCAUAGCCGACCUGAGAGGGUGAUCGGCCACAUUGGGACUGAGACACGGCCCAAACUCCUACGGGAGGCAGCAGUAGGGAAUCUUCGGCAAUGGACGAAAGUCUGACCGAGCAACGCCGCGUGAGUGAAGAAGGUUUUCGGAUCGUAAAACUCUGUUGUUAGAGAAGAACAAGGAUGAGAGUAACUGUUCAUCCCUUGACGGUAUCUAACCAGAAAGCCACGGCUAACUACGUGCCAGCAGCCGCGGUAAUACGUAGGUGGCAAGCGUUGUCCGGAUUUAUUGGGCGUAAAGCGAGCGCAGGCGGUUUCUUAAGUCUGAUGUGAAAGCCCCCGGCUCAACCGGGGAGGGUCAUUGGAAACUGGGAGACUUGAGUGCAGAAGAGGAGAGUGGAAUUCCAUGUGUAGCGGUGAAAUGCGUAGAUAUAUGGAGGAACACCAGUGGCGAAGGCGGCUCUCUGGUCUGUAACUGACGCUGAGGCUCGAAAGCGUGGGGAGCAAACAGGAUUAGAUACCCUGGUAGUCCACGCCGUAAACGAUGAGUGCUAAGUGUUGGAGGGUUUCCGCCCUUCAGUGCUGCAGCUAACGCAUUAAGCACUCCGCCUGGGGAGUACGACCGCAAGGUUGAAACUCAAAGGAAUUGACGGGGGCCCGCACAAGCGGUGGAGCAUGUGGUUUAAUUCGAAGCAACGCGAAGAACCUUACCAGGUCUUGACAUCCUUUGACCACUCUAGAGAUAGAGCUUCCCCUUCGGGGGCAAAGUGACAGGUGGUGCAUGGUUGUCGUCAGCUCGUGUCGUGAGAUGUUGGGUUAAGUCCCGCAACGAGCGCAACCCUUAUUGUUAGUUGCCACCAUUCAGUUGGGCACUCUAGCAAGACUGCCGGUGAC